rnacentral:rRNA from 1 species
AAAGUUCCGUAACAAGGUCUCCGUUGGUGAACCAGCGGAGGGAUCAUUACCGAGUUUACAACUCCCAAACCCAAUGUGAACGUUACCAAACUGUUGCCUCGGCGGGGUCACGCCCCGGGUGCGUCGCAGCCCCGGAACCAGGCGCCCGCCGGAGGAACCAACCAAACUCUUUCUGUAGUCCCCUCGCGGACGUAUUUCUUACAGCUCUGAGCAAAAAUUCAAAAUGAAUCAAAACUUUCAACAACGGAUCUCUUGGUUCUGGCAUCGAUGAAGAACGCAGCGAAAUGCGAUAAGUAAUGUGAAUUGCAGAAUUCAGUGAAUCAUCGAAUCUUUGAACGCACAUUGCGCCCGCCAGUAUUCUGGCGGGCAUGCCUGUCCGAGCGUCAUUUCAACCCUCGAACCCCUCCGGGGGAUCGGCGUUGGGGAUCGGGACCCCUCACACGGGUGCCGGCCCCGAAAUACAGUGGCGGUCUCGCCGCAGCCUCUCCUGCGCAGUAGUUUGCACAACUCGCACCGGGAGCGCGGCGCGUCCACGUCCGUAAAACACCCAACUUUCUGAAAUGUUGACCUCGGAUCAGGUAGGAAUACCCGCUGAACUUAAGCAUAUCAAUAA